UAGUAUCAUACCAGGAGUAUGAGAAGUACAGUGCUUUCUGGCUCUAACAUCAUUGCCUUCAGUAUCAAGGCUGCCUGGAGAAAGGAUGGCAGCCUCAGGGCUUCCUUAUGUCCUUCGCCACAAGAGCUCCUUGAUGAAGGCCUUCUUUUUCCCCUAUCCUGCUCUCCCCUCCCCACUUCUAACGGUACGUGGGUACCCAGGCUGGUUCUUGGGCUAGGUAGUGGGGACCAAGUUCAUUACCUCCUUAUCAGUUCUAGCAUAGUAAACUACAGUAUCAAGUGUUAGUGGGAAGAGCUGGGUUUUCCUGGUAUACCCACUGCAUCCUACUCCUAUCUGGUCAACACACUGCUUCCAGGAAGUCCAGCUCCUUAAACUGAUGCUAGUCAAUAAACCUGGGCAAGUGAAGCAAGAGAACUGAGAAAGAAUCCAUCUGUGAGUGGACAGAUAAGGAUGAAAGACCAAGAAGGAAAAGAGUAUCAAAAGCAGAGAGGUCAUUUAGUUGGGUCUGAAAGGAAAAGUCUUUGCUACCCCGACAUGUAUUGCUAGUAGGUCCCAGAAUGGAAAAAAAAAAAUUCGGCUGUUGGUAAUAUAAUAAUGUCCUUUCCCUGGAGCCAGUUAUUAAAAAAAAAUAAAAUAAAAUAAAAAAACUCUUAGUUUUUACUUGUUUAAUUCUAAAAGAGAAGGGAGCUGAAGCCAUUCCCUGUAGGAGUAAAGCUAAAAGGACAGGAAAAGAUUCAAAGCUCUAAUAGAGUCACAGAUUUCCCAGGUAUAAAACCUAAAAUUAAGAAGUACAAUAAGCAGAGGUGGAAAAUGAUCUAGUUCCUGAUAGCUUCCCACAGAGCAAGUGAUUUAUAUACUUGAAAUCCAAACUACUUUCUUAAUAUCACUUUGGUCUCCAUUUUUCCCAGGAGAGGAAAUAUGUCCCCCAUAACUUUCUUGCUUCAAAAAUUAAAAUCCAGCAUCCCAAGAUCAUUCCAUAAGUAAUUCUGCACAGACAUCUCCUCACCCCAGUGCCUGUCUGGAGCUCACCCAAGGUCACCAAACAACUUGGUUGUGAACCAACUGCCUUAACCUUCGGGGGGAGGGAGUUAGCUAGACAAGGAGACCAGAAGUGAAUGGGAAAGGGUUAGGACUCCACAAUGUUGGCCUGUCAGAGCUUGAUUAGAAGCCAAGCCAGGGGCAGCAAAAGAAAGCUUGGCCCAGGAAAAACCUGUGGGUCAUGCUAAUUUCUAUCCAGAAAAUACGGUGGACAGAAGCUUCUGGGGUGCAUGAAGGGACUGGAACCUAGUUAUGUUGUUAUUCUCGGACUGUGAAUUUUGGUGAUGUAAAACAGAAUAUUCUGUAAACCAAUGUCUGUAUAAAUAAUGAGUGUUAACACAGUAAAAUAUUCGGUAAGAAGUCAAA